GGUUUGAAGCAGGAAGUGUAUAGCAGGAUGGGGGAGAGCUGCCAGAAGCAGGGAGGUUCCAUCAAGGAAGGCCCUGGGUCAAGGGAAAGAUUGGAAAAAGAAACAAUACUGAGAGGGUGCUUCAUUUAAGGUCAUUGUCGUCUAUCUAAAAUGCAAUGGAGUAAAAGUGGGAGUCGGAGUGGACUUCUGAGUAUGAAAUACAAUCUGAGAGAAGACAGGCUUCAGUACUAUAGAUCUGAAAUUCAUUUGGGAACAUAUCUACACGCCACAGUAGAGAUGGAGGAGCUGUUUGAAACCAAUAAUCAUAUCAGCAAAAUCUGGCCUCUUGUCUAUUUGCAAACAAAUGUUGAUAUUUUUGAAAUUAUUCACUUUUUUGUAAUAAUCUUUUAUUGAAAAUGUUGGCAUAUUGCUGCUUUCAUGACUUUUCUCAUCAACUU